rnacentral:rRNA from 1 species
AACGUAGGGGGCAAGCGUUAUCCGGAAUUACUGGGUGUAAAGGGUGAGUAGGCGGCAUGGUAAGCCAGAUGUGAAAGCCUUGGGCUUAACCCGAGGAUUGCAUUUGGAACUAUCAAGCUAGAGUACAGGAGAGGAAAGCGGAAUUCCUAGUGUAGCGGUGAAAUGCGUAGAUAUUAGGAAGAACACCAGUGGCGAAGGCGGCUUUCUGGACUGAAACUGACGCUGAGGCACGAAAGCGUGGGGAGCGAACAGG